UGCACUUCUUCUCUCUCCAUGCCUCCUGCAUCAGAUCAGAUAAGUCACACUACUUGCACAGGCCAGGCGCUUUCACUGCACCAACUAACUAUCAGUUGUACAAUGCGAUCGGUGUUGCCACUGCUACCACACCAUAUAUACUUACCUUCCUUGUUUGUCGAUCCAUUGCCACCAUUCAUUCAAGGGGAGAGAUGGAUCGAUUCGAUUCGCCAUGGCUGUGUUCCUCCUCCUCCUCCUCAUGGUUGCUCUCACCAGUGUCCACACCAGCGACAAGGCGAGCGUGGUGAUGAGGUUUGGAGCUCACACCAUCACGGUCCACUUCGAAGUUCUGUAACAUGCAUGCAUGCAUGUUGGUUUCUUAGUCAAGAGUCAAGACUCUUUAGAAUCAAAGUUUUAAAUAGCGCGCUAAGCCUCUUAGCGGCGGACCUCUUUCAAAUACUAUAGCGUACUAUAGCGGAGCUAUAGCGAGCUAUUUAAAAUGUUUGCUCAAGUGUUUGAACAAAAGACUCUUAGCGCGGGACCUUUUGUAAACGCUAUAGCGGGCUAUUUAAAAUCAUGCUUAGAAUAAUGACGCCCCAUGGACCAGGAUCCUAUGGGCUAUGCUACUCCUUUCUGCCUUUCUUUCUUUUCAUGACUAUUACCAUUGUACGUUUAUCAGGUUUGUCUGUGUGACCAAGCUUUAUUUGCGUCUUCAAUGUAGUAGUAUUACUUUGUGCCAAACAAUGUUUACGUUACAUUUGGAAAUAAACAUUUUUACUACUUGUUGACAUCA
rnacentral:lncRNA from 1 species